UUCAAUGUCACAGAGAAAUCAACAGGUGCUU
rnacentral:piRNA from 1 species